GGCCUAACACAUGCAAGUCGAACGGUAACAGGAAGAAGCUUGCUUCUUUGCUGACGAGUGGCGGACGGGUGAGUAAUGUCUGGGAAACUGCCUGAUGGAGGGGGAUAACUACUGGAAACGGUAGCUAAUACCGCAUAACGUCGCAAGACCAAAGAGGGGGACCUUCGGGCCUCUUGCCAUCGGAUGUGCCCAGAUGGGAUUAGCUAGUAGGUGGGGUAACGGCUCACCUAGGCGACGAUCCCUAGCUGGUCUGAGAGGAUGACCAGCCACACUGGAACUGAGACACGGUCCAGACUCCUACGGGAGGCAGCAGUGGGGAAUAUUGCACAAUGGGCGCAAGCCUGAUGCAGCCAUGCCGCGUGUAUGAAGAAGGCCUUCGGGUUGUAAAGUACUUUCAGCGGGGAGGAAGGGAGUAAAGUUAAUACCUUUGCUCAUUGACGUUACCCGCAGAAGAAGCACCGGCUAACUCCGUGCCAGCAGCCGCGGUAAUACGGAGGGUGCAAGCGUUAAUCGGAAUUACUGGGCGUAAAGCGCACGCAGGCGGUUUGUUAAGUCAGAUGUGAAAUCCCCGGGCUCAACCUGGGAACUGCAUCUGAUACUGGCAAGCUUGAGUCUCGUAGAGGGGGGUAGAAUUCCAGGUGUAGCGGUGAAAUGCGUAGAGAUCUGGAGGAAUACCGGUGGCGAAGGCGGCCCCCUGGACGAAGACUGACGCUCAGGUGCGAAAGCGUGGGGAGCAAACAGGGUUAGAUACCCUGGUAGUCCACGCCGUAAACGAUGUCGACUUGGAGGUUGUGCCCUUGAGGCGUGGCUUCCGGAGCUAACGCGUUAAGUCGACCGCCUGGGGAGUACGGCCGCAAGGUUAAAACUCAAAUGAAUUGACGGGGGCCCGCACAAGCGGUGGAGCAUGUGGUUUAAUUCGAUGCAACGCGAAGAACCUUACCUGGUCUUGACAUCCACGGAAGUUUUCAGAGAUGAGAAUGUGCCUUCGGGAACCGUGAGACAGGUGCUGCAUGGCUGUCGUCAGCUCGUGUUGUGAAAUGUUGGGUUAAGUCCCGCAACGAGCGCAACCCUUAUCCUUUGUUGCCAGCGGUCCGGCCGGGAACUCAAAGGAGACUGCCAGUGAUAAACUGGAGGAAGGUGGGGAUGACGUCAAGUCAUCAUGGCCCUUACGACCAGGGCUACACACGUGCUACAAUGGCGCAUACAAAGAGAAGCGACCUCGCGAGAGCAAGCGGACCUCAUAAAGUGCGUCGUAGUCCGGAUUGGAGUCUGCAACUCGACUCCAUGAAGUCGGAAUCGCUAGUAAUCGUGGAUCAGAAUGCCACGGUGAAUACGUUCCCGGGCCUUGUACACACCGCCCGUCACACCAUGGGAGUGGGUUGCAAAAGAAGUAGGUAGCUUAACCUUCGGGAGGGCGCUUACCACUUUGUGAUUCAUGACUGGGGUGAAGUCAUAACA
rnacentral:rRNA from 1 species